UUUCCGUAGGUGAACCUGCGGAAGGAUCAUUGUCGAAGGCCUGUAGAAUGUCGGUGGACAAGCGGACUUAUUGGAACAUAUGUGGGGGUGCACGGGGGAGUAGCCCUGUCACUAGUGUCUUGUGGAUGGGGAUGCGUUCUGGAGCCCGUGUAAACCCCGGUCCAACACCUGAAUCGGCAUCGAACGUGCCAAGGAUGCUCUAUGAGAAAAUCUCACCCCACCCCCCACCCCGCAUGCCGUGCACGUGGGAUUUUGGGAGGUGGAUUGUGCAAUCGUCACAUAACGACUCUCGACAAUGGAUAUCUCGGCUCCCGUAUCGAUGAAGAACGCAGCGAAAUGCGAUACAUGGUGUGAAUUGCAGAAUCUCGUGAAUCAUUGAGUUUUUGAACGCAAGUUGCGCCCGAAGCCAUUUUUUGGUCGAGGGCACACCUGCCUGGGUGUCACGCACGGAGUUGUCCCAGGGCCUCCUCCUCCGGUAGCAGACUCGUUUAUUUGGUUGGGUUCUCGGGGGAGACGGGAGCACGGGGGGUCGAUGUUGGUCUUCCGUUCUAUGUUGUACGGUUGGUCUAAAUUUGAGGUCCCAUGCGACAUGCGUCAUGACGAGUUGGGGAACACAUCGUUUGCCCCAUGUCGGUUGGCGAACCGCCUGCGGUCCCAUGGCCUAAUUGACACUUUGAUUGAGAAGCCAUCUAGGCCCC
rnacentral:misc_RNA from 1 species